UACGGGGGGGGCAAGCGUUGUUCGGAAUUACUGGGCGUAAAGGGCUUGUAGGUGGCCAACUAAGUCAGACGUGAAAUCCCUCAGCUUAACUGGGGAACUGCUUCUGAUACUGGAUGGCUUGAGUUUGGGAGAGGGAUGCGGAAUUCCAGGUGUAGCGGUGAAAUGCGUAGAUAUCUGGAGGAACACCGGUGGCGAAGGCGGCAUCCUGGACCAACACUGACACUGAAAAGCGAAAGCCAGGGGAGCAAGCGGG
rnacentral:rRNA from 1 species